CGAGUAGUUCAGCAGGUUAGAACGCCAGCCUGUCACGCUGGAGGUCGAGGGUUCGAGCCCCUUCUC
rnacentral:tRNA from 1 species